GGUCCGUUGGUGUAACGGUCAGACACAUCUUAGCUGAUGCUUCGUCGCUCUACGCAGCGGCCUACUGUCCAGAAUAGAGGUUACCGGUUCGAAUCCGGUACGGGCCA